UGAAUACGAGAUGCUACGGCGUCGAAGCAGUGUAUGUCAGACUUCCAAGAAAAGCUCGCAAUGUCAUAAAUAAAGAAUGCCUGUACCAUAACCGACACAGGUGGGUAGGUAGAGUAUACUAAGGGGCGCGAGAUAACUCUCUCUAAGGAACUCGGCAAAAUAACUCCGUAACUUCGGGAGAAGGAGUGCCUUCUAUUAGAAGGUUGCAAUAACAAGAUCCAAGCAACUGUUUAUCAAAAACACAGGUCUCCGCUAAGUCGUAAGACGAUGUAUGGGGGCUGACGCCUGCCCAGUGCCAGAAGGUUAAAGAAGUUGGUUAGCUUUGGCGAAGCUGAUGACUGAAGCCCAGGUGAACGGCGGCCGUAACAAUAACGGUCCUAAGGUAGCGAAAUUCCUUGUCGGGUAAGUUCCGACCCGCACGAAAGGCGUAAUGAUUUGGAUACUGUCUCGGAGAGGGACUCGGUGAAAUAGACUUGUCUGUGAAGAUGCGGACUACCUGCACCAGGACAGAAAGACCCUAUGAAGCUUUACUGUAACUUGAAAUUGAAAUUGGACUUUAUUUGCGCAGCAUAGGUGGAAGGCGUUGAGAUUACUCUUGCGGGAGUACUGGAGCCAUCAGUGAGAUACCACUCCUAUAAUGUUAGAUUUCUAACUUUGGAUCAUGAUCUGGUCAAAGAACAGUUUCAGGCGGGCAGUUUGACUGGGGCGGUCGCCUCCCAAAUGGUAACGGAGGCGUACAAAGGUUUCCUCUGAACGGGUAGAAAUCGUAUCUAGAGUGUAAAGGCAUAAGGAAGCUUGACUGUGAGACCUACAAGUCGAGCAGGGACGAAAGUCGGUCUUAGUGAUCUGACGGUGCUGAGUGGAAAGGCCGUCACUCAACGGAUAAAAGUUACUCUAGGAUAACAGGCUGAUCUCCCCCAAGAGUUCACAUCGACGGGGAGGUUUGGCGCCUCGAUGUCGGCUCAUCGCAUCCUGGGGCGGUAGUACGUCCCAAGGGUUGGGCUGUUCGCCCAUGAAAGCGGUACGCGAGCUGGGUUCAGAACGUCGUGAGACAGUUCGGUCCAUAUCCGGUGUAGGCGUUAGAAUAUUGAGAGGAGCCUUCUUUAGUACGAGAGGACCGAGAAGGACAUACCUCUGGUGUACCAGUUAUCGUGCCAACGGUAAACGCUGGGUAGCUAUGUAUGGAGAGGAUAACCGCUGAAAGCAUCUAAGUGGGAAGCCCACCUCAAGAUGAGUAUUCUCAUC
rnacentral:rRNA from 1 species